rnacentral:rRNA from 1 species
UACGUAGGGUGCGAGCGUUAAUCGGAAUUACUGGGCGUAAAGCGUGCGUAGGCGGUUCGUUAAGUCAGCUGUGAAAGCCCCGGGCUCAACCUGGGAACUGCGGUUGAAACUGGCGAACUAGAAUCUGGCAGAGGGGGGUGGAAUUCCACGUGUAGCAGUGAAAUGCGUAGAGAUGUGGAGGAACACCGAUGGCGAAGGCAGCCCCCUGGGUCAAGAUUGACGCUCAUGCACGAAAGCGUGGGGAGCAAACAGG